ACGCUCGACACCUACAGGAGGCAGCAGUGGGGAAUAUUGCACAAUGGGGGAAACCCUGAUGCAGCGACGCCGCGUGGAGGAAGAAGGUCUUCGGAUUGUAAACUCCUGUUGUUGGGGAAAAAGAGGAUGGUACCCAACAAGGAAGUGACGGCUAACUACGUCNCNNGCGCGGAGUAUGNGNGGCGNGNGAGAG
rnacentral:rRNA from 1 species